rnacentral:rRNA from 1 species
GACGAACGCUGGCGGCGUGCCUAAUACAUGCAAGUAGGACGCAGUUGCGAGCGGGUGGGUAGCGCGUAGGUAACUACCUAUUAGAGGGUGAUAACUAUUGGAAACGAUAGCUAAUAACGCAUACUAGUAGAUUGACCUGCGUGGUAUUAGCUAGUAGGUCGGGUAAUGGCCUACCUAGGCAACGAUACAUAGCCGACCUGAGAGGUGGAUCGGCCACACUGGGACUGAGAUACGGCCCAGACUCCUACGGGAGGCAGCAGUAGGGAAUCUUGCGCAAUGGGGGAACCCCUACCGCGGAACUCCGCGUGAUUGAAGAAGGUUUUCGGAUCUUAAAGCUCUGUUGUGAAGGGAGCGGUACUCAACCAGAAAGGGACGGCUAACUACGUGCCAGCAGCCGCGGUAAUAC